AGUGUAGGCGGCGCGGUAAGUCAGAUGUGAAAUCCCGGGGCUCAACCCCGGAACUGCAUCCGAUACUGCCGUGCUAGAGGAUUGGAGAGGUAGCUGGAAUUCUUGGUGUAGCAGUGAAAUGCGUGGAGAUCAAGAGGAACACUCGUGGCGAAAGCGAGCUACUGGACAAUAUCUGACGCUGAGGCUCGAAGGCCAGGGUAGCGAAAG
rnacentral:rRNA from 1 species